rnacentral:rRNA from 1 species
AGUAGUUUGAUCAUGGCUCAGGACGAACGCUGGCGGCGUGCCUAACACAUGCAAGUCGAGCGGAGACAUUUGGAAAGCUUGCUUUUUGGAUGUUUCAGCGGCGGACGGGUGAGUAACGCGUGAGCAACCUGCCUUUGACAGGGGGAUAACGCAUCGAAAGAUGUGCUAAUACCGCAUAAGACCACAACGCUACAUAGCGAAGGGGUCAAAGGAGUAAUCCGGUUAAAGAUGGGCUCGCGUCCGAUUAGCUAGUUGGUGAGAUAACAGCCCACCAAGGCGACGAUCGGUAGCCGACCUGAGAGGGUGGACGGCCACAUUGGGACUGAGACACGGCCCAGACUCC